CAAAAUUUCAAAACAUAACCAACCCAAUUCUAGUAUUUCAAUCAAGUCAUUUAUAUACUUAAAUCUUACUUGACAUAUUGACGUAACAACUUAAUUAAUAAAAAUCCUACUAUCAUUUCUAAUUAACUCAUAAAACUAAUCAAGUCAUUUCAAUUCGAUACCAAUGCCAUAAAUGACUUCUACCAUUUUACUAAUAUAAUCAUCAAAACACAUUAUAUCUUACUUUACAACAAAACUAUAUAACAUACCAAAAUAACUAUUAUAAUUCUUAUGUACAUGCCACUUUCAUUUAAGGAAGAAAACAUCACUGAAAACUCUAUGCAGGAGUCGGGAUUGUCCUGGAUGCUGAACCGAGACUCUGACCCCUUUUCAACCUACGCAUGGAAACAACCGUACGCUGAGUAUUUUAUACUCAGUGGUAUUACCAUAAUUCAAAUUAUAAUAACAAUAAAGAAUUAUAAUUACGAAGCAUGUAACUAUCCGAUUUCUUAAUAUCAAUUAAUUCAUAAACUUUCAUUAUUUAACAAUAACAAUACAAUUUUUUAGCUAUCUUCAAUCUCAAUCACAUAUCACAUGUAGCAAUUUCAAUCACUACAUAAACAUUAAAUUCAUGCCUUUUAUUUUCAAUAUCAAUUUCAAUCUACAAAUUUUUAAUUUUCUCAUAUUCAAUACCACAAUCGAUCAAAUUCAUUUGAUUUUCUCAUUUCAAUUAUUCACCCUAUUAACAAUCUGGACUUUGACAGAUACACGGAUUCCAACCCAAACACACCAAUACGGCACAUUGUGCCUCAAACGGUACAUAGUACCUGAUUAGUAUACGACACAUAAGUGCCUGAAACGACACACGAGGUGCCUGAUACGACACAUAAAGUGCCUGAGAUACGACACAUAAAGUGCCUGGUGUACGACACAUAAAGUGCCUGAUCGGCAAAGCCGAUAAAUCCCGUACUCUUCCAAAUCCUAUGGCAUGCCAACUAUAUCUGACUUAGCCCGACUAGUUAAUAGGGUAUUCAAAUUCUCAAUUCUCUUUCAUUAUCAAUUCAAGAUCACUUUUCCACUUUUUAAUCAAUUAACAAUUUAAUACCAAUACAUAUUUCAAAUAAUCACAUAUAAUCAUAUUUCAAUUCAAUUCAAACCACUUUUCAAUCAUUACACAAUUCACAUAUUCACACAUAUUCAUAAAUUAAUUCACUUUAUUUAAUUCAUAUUUUAAAUUCAUUUUUCAAUCAAAUUCAAAUCACUAAUUACUUUUUAAUCAAUAUACAUUUCAAAUACUCACAUAUUUCCUUCAUUCAAUUUAAUUUGAUUCAAUUCAAAUCACUAUUAUCAUUUCAAUUGCUUACCCAAUUUUACUUACCAUGCAUUUUAAUUAAAAUAUAACAAUUAAUAAUAAAUAGAUUUGAAUUAUAGUAAUACAAACCCGAAUUUGCUCGAUUAUUCCUCAACGACCUUCUGCUUCCCUUUUUGUGCCGAUACCUCAAAUUCUUUACUAGCUAUGAAAAUUAAAUAAUUAAAUAAUUAAUUACAGCACAAAUUUUACAAUAAAAAUAAAAUUUCUAUCAAAUUUUAUACUUUAAUUCCAAUUUAAUCCUAACUAGAUUUAUCUACUUUUCUAAUUUAAUUCACACUCUAUUUCUAUUCAAAUUUCUUCUAAACUCAAAUUUAUCUACUAAUUUUUCAGCAUUUUUCACUAAUUUCGAAUUUUCCUCAAUUUAAUCCCUAAAAUUCAAAACUUAUAGUUUAGUUUACAAUUCAAUCCUUUAUUCAAUUCCAAAUAAAAUUUCUAUCAAAUAAAUCCUCAAUUCCAUCAUUUAUUCAACAUAAACCCUACUCAAAAAUCUAUUAACUUUCAAAUUUUCAACUUAAAUCCAAGAUUAUUUCACUCUAGGAUUCCAAAAACAUCAAAUUUAUGAGAAAAUAACUUGAUUUAGCUUACCUAUUAAACUUCAAGCUUCAAAAUCUCAAUUUUCCCCCUUUCUUUUCUUUCCCUUUUUCUUCCCCUGUUUUCGACUCUUUCUCUGUUUCUUUUCUGUUCUUCUUCUCUUUUUCUAUUCUUUUAUUUCAUUUGUUUUCUUUUACUUUUUUGUUAUAAUAAUAUAAUAUAUAAUAAUUAAUAUAAAUAUCUUUUACCACACAUGUCAUAUUCAUAACUAUACAUUUGUCCUAAUCUUAUUUAUCUCACAAUAUAAUAAUAAUAAUAAUUUAAUAAUAUAUUUUAACACAUAAAAAUCUUAAAUUUUUAUGCUUAUGCCGCCUCAAAUUUGGCAAUUGGCAUAAUUGCCUAUUUAAUCCCAUUUAUUGUAUUUUAAUCUAUAAUUAAACUUUCACUUUUAUUGUAAUUUAAUCCUUUUUACUAAUUACUCUUAAUUAGACUAAAUUCACCUAAUUAAUACCUAAUUAAGCACUAAACUAAACUCAUAAUUACUUCUAAUAAUUAUUUUCAAACUCAAUUUACUAAGACGGAGGCCCGAUAUUAUAUUUUUUCGAUGCCCGUGAAUUUUUGGGUCAUUACAUUUUAAGGGUAUAGAGUGGAGAUGAUAUUGGAGGGAGAUGUCUGUAUAUUACCUGAGUAAAUUGAGGUUCAACAUUUGUUGUGAACUCUCGUGUUAUACUCUAUGUCUGGUGUGUUUCGGUUGGAUUAGCUCUUAUGAGCUUCUGUCCGGCGUGUUUCAGUUGGAUUAGCUCUUAUGAGCUUAUGUCUGGUGUGUUCGGUUGAUUUGAUGAUGCACUCUUAUCCGUAAUUCGUUCUUCAAAUGAAAAAUCUCGGUAAGGUAAUCUGUUUAAUGAAUUUGAAAAAUUUAUUAUUUAUUGAAUAUUAAUCUAAACAUAGAUGAAUUCAUCGGUUGAAAUUGUAGAUGAAAGGGAAUUCUCAUGGUUGAUUAUUAUUGUUUGAAUUGUUGUAUUUGCUUCGGUAAGAUUUAUCGUUUAAUGUGUCGAACUUACUAAGCUUCAUUAAGCUUACUUGUGUUGUUUAAUGUCAUUAUAGAUUCUCGAAAGGUUGGACGAUCGGAUCGGCACUCAAGUCACUCUAUCCAGCUCAAUUUGAUAGUUUUUGGAACGUUUAAUUUAUAUUAUAUGGCAUGUAUAGGCUCUUGUGUUAUUAUCGUUAAUGUUUUGGUUUAUAUAAAAACUAUGGAUGAUUUUUUGUUUAAAUGGUCAACUUAUAUAAUAUAUGAGAAUGAGGUAUAGUUUCUAUGAUAAUGUGAAUGAUAUGUAUGAAAGAAAUGUUAUGAUUGAGAUACCUUUGAUAGGUAUUUCAGAUAAAUAUUGCUUGAAUGAAUUAAUAAGUUGAAUUGAUAAUUAUUUUGAUGUAUAAUUAUAUAUACUUGUGGCACCAAUGAGAGUACAUUAGUUAGGCACUUAAUAGGUUGGUUUUGGUGUGUUUUUGGCUCGAUUAAAGUCAUUUUGAUUUGGUAUUUUGAUUGGUAUUUGAGUUUCUUAAGGUCCAAGCAAACUUGAAAUGGUAAUAUUGUGUUUUAAGGUUCAUUUUGGGUCCACACGGCCUGAAAUGGUAUUUGACUUCCAAACGUGUCGAGAUUCGAGGAAAUCAAUAGCAGGUUGUGUUGUUGUCCUAGGUGAUCUACUGUAAUUUGAUACGUCAAAUUAAACCCUCAAAUGCACUUAAGGAGCUUAUCUUUAAACAAUUUUAGUGUCUUUUAUAUGUUUUUUUAUUUUUAAUUUUAUUUUUAAUAAAUUUUUUAUUAGUUUCAAGUCAUUUCUGAUACCCAAAUUGGCCAAUUGUGGCAUGGGAAACCUAACAAGUUGAUUAAGUGAUGUAGGGAGUCGGCGGUGGCCUGAACAGGAAGAAAAUAUCACCUACAAGUGGGUAUCACGAUAUCGAAGUAUGGAACGAUAUCGAAGUAUGGAAGUGUAAUACCCUUGAAAAAACUGAAAUGAAAAAAAUCGGGGCCGACUACUGUGACAUGAUGUCGAAAUCAUUUUUAAAUUUAGAAAAAAAUGGGGAUCGACUUUUAAAAUGAAAACCGGGAGUCGCCACCGAUCUUUUAUUGAGGUGUGAUUGGAUCACCUUGGAAAUAAUUUUAGGUCUGCGAAUUUUGAGAAAACAGGUUCGGGAGUCGGUUACGCAUUAGGAAGGGUUAGCACCCUCGUGACGCCCAAAAUUGGUACUGAAUUGAUUGUUUAAUGUCUUAAUGUCAAAAUUUGAAAAGAUUUUAAAAUACGAUCCUUUUAACUUGAAUAAAUUGAAUAAUAAAACACUCUUAUUUCAAAGAAAUAGAAUGUCACACCCAGUGAGUUAAGGCGCAACAUUUUUAAUCUUCCAAAAUUAAGUUUAUCUUUUAACUUUUAAAACCCAUGCAUGUUGAGAAGAAUAUUUGGUCAUUUGGGUCAAAUGAAAAAAUCAAAAUCCAGUAAGUUAGGGUUCAAUUUCCCAAAAUUCCUAAAUACCUCAUAUUGCCUUUAUUUUUAGAAGAAUCCUCGUCUCGAGAAAAUAACAUGUCAUAUCCAAUGCAUUAGGACACAACGUAUCGAAUUCCCGAGAAUGAGCUUUUAUUUAUGUGUUUUGAUUAAAGAAAAUUUGAUUAUUUAGAUUCAACGAGAAAAAUUAAAACCCAAUACGUUAGGGCUCAAUUCUCUCGAGGAUUCCAAAUAUCGGGUAUUGCCUUUAUUUUCAAAAUUCCUUUUUAUACAUUGCGUAGAAAGGUCAAAUAUGUUUAAACAUCAUGUAUGGUACAAUGAUAAUGAAAUGGUGUGAAAUGGCUAUGUGGGUAGAAUAAUACAUAAAGGAAUGUUAUAAUAUUUGCAAUGAAACUAUAAUAAUAAUGCACCAACUAAUAAUAGCAAUAAUCAUAUUAAUUACUAUAGCAUGAAAAUACGAAUAAAUGAAAUAAUACACAUAAUGACAAUACUUACACCACACAUCAAAUACAAAUACUAAUAAUCAAAGCAAACAAAACGAAUAAUAUAUAUAAGUCAAUUUAAAGAAAAUAAUAGCUCAAAAUGAAUGAUUUGUGCUGGCAUUUCAAAAUAAAUAAUAACGAUUCAAAUAAGUAGAACAUAUAUAUAAAAAAAUUAGACAAUAAAUAAAUAACAAUGGAAACAAUUAAAAAAUAUAUUUAAAAAGAACAUAUAUUUUGAAAAAAAUACAUAUAUACGUACAGAAGAAAAAAAAUUUGAAAAAUGUUCAUACAUAAGUUUAUAAGAAAUAAUAUGUAUAAAAAAAUAAAUUUAAUGUAAAACAACUUCAAAUAAAUAAUAAAUAUAAAAACUUAAAAUAAGUAACGAUAAAAGAACAUUUUCUACAAAUAAAUGAAUUAAAUAAACCGAGGAUGAGGUGGAAACAGAAUUAAAAUUCGAGGCUUUAAUUGCAAAAUCGCAAACAGUUCGCAAGGGGACUGAAAUAAGAUGCGCUGAUGACAUGAGGGACUGACUGUGCAAUAUCCCCGUCCCUUAUGCACAUCGUUUUGCGCAGGACAAGAUUGGAACAGGCGCAAAGUUCUAUGGCUGAAAUUAAGUAAAAUAAAAAGGCUGCAUCGAAUGUGCCCCAGAAUUGGAAGGACUAAUUUCGCAAAAUACCCAUUAGGGUAAUAAUGCGCAGCCCUCCAAGCCUUCAAACGGCACCGUUUUAAUAAUCAAUAUAAAAAGAAAAAAAAACCUAGACUAAGCCCGAAACAGAACCCUAGCAAUCCCUUCUCAUUUCUGCGCCGUUCUGCUACGUCCAUAGGCCAAUGGUUUUCCGAAUCCCCUUUGCGCGACUCCGAUUGCGACGGAGCGAAGGACACCGGUCACCAGGUACGUUUCUCACUCUGAACUUUCUUCUUUAUUUGUUUACCCUAGCAAUGAACUAAAGAAUCAAAGAAAAAAAGAGAAAAACGAAGAGAAAAUUCAAAAAAACUUACGAAGCUUAGUUUUCUUUUAAUGUUUUUUCUUGUUUCUGUAUUCAAUCUCUGUAUGCGUAAAAAAGGGAAAAGAGACCCCCUUUAAGUACAUCUUUGGGUUUUUUAUAACCCGAAAACAAAAAGAAAAGAAAACGAAUACAAAUUCUUUUUUUGUUUUUCUUUUUCUCUGCCUUUCUUUUGCUGUUUGUUUGUUCCAUUUUGCUGUCGAUUUGUUGUUUGCUGCAGGUACGGUCGUACGAGGGGGCAAUGGCAUCGCGUACGGAAGCAGAGGCUGACGUGGAGCUGCUCGGAGGCUAAACCUGCUGGCUGCGGCGCUAAAAGUCUCAGAAACCCUAGGGUUUUUGUUUGUUCCAGUUUUGGGCCAAGGGUAUUUAGUUGGUUUGGGCUUGUAAGGCGAUUAGGCUGGGGUGUAUUUGGUCUGUAUGAUUUUAGGCUUGUAUUUUGGGCUUGCUGGACUGAUGGACUUUUAAUAACCUUGUUAUUAUUAUUAUUUUUAUUAUUUAUUUUUUUAUAUAAUUUGUUUAUUUAUUUGAUUUGGGCCGGGCAAAAUUAGGGUAUUACACAUGAUAUUCAAGUUUGUUGGGGGUAUCACCAUCCAUUCCAAGAUUGUUGGGGGUAUCAUGAUAUUCAAGUUUGGUUAUCACAAUAUCGCUGCCUAAAGGGUGAAAAAACUGAAAGGCAAUUUUAUGUCCAACAAACUUAAGUCUAUUUUUCACUUAAUGGUAAAAUAGUCAAUGCUAGGUUAAAUAGUAAUAGGCUAUAAAUACAACUUUAUAAGCCUUUCAUUUUAAAUUUUACUAUUAUCUUUACCCGUUAGUUAAAAAAUGAGUUACUUGUCUAAUGGUUAAGUGUUAGUGAAAUUGUCUUUGAAACCCAAGUCUGAAUCUCCUCCCUCGCAUAAUUUUUAUAUGUUGUAUUUUUUCCCAAAAACCCUAGGUGUUGUCGUCCCAUGUUGUAACCCUAGGUACAUAUUGUAUUUUUUUCUUUUCUUUUCAGCCUCAUUUGCUCACCCUCUCUACGUCCCACCUUCUCUCUUCCUCUCAUUUCUUCAAUAAUUCUUUUCUCUUAUCUCUUUUAUUGCCUCCCCUUGAAACCUCAUGUUUUCUCUUUCAUUGACGUCGCCCUAGUGAUCAGCCACCACUACUGUUGCCCCUUUUGUUUCUCCUCUCCUUCUUUCAUUUUCUCUCAUUCUUUUGUUGACGAAACCACCAUUCAUCUUUGGUCAGAUCUUUUUUGGCCCUUUGCAAGUGAUCAAUCCGUUUUGUGAUUAUUUGUUAUCAAAGGUCUGAGAUCCGCGAAGUGUAAGUUGUUUAUUAGUCAAAUUUAAAUACAUAUUUCUUUUCUAUAAUGGUCAAAUCUAUCAAGAGUCCAUGGCUAAUUCUCACAUGUGUUCUUUUUGUGUUUUUUUAUUGAAGGUUCAUAUUCAAAUCACUCAGAUCAAUGGUGACAUCAAACAUUAUUCGCGUCUUCGUCUUAAGUUGAAAUAGUACUAGUGUAUGUGGUGAUUCCAAAAAUCAUAUAUGAAUUGCCAUUGUUUUCUCUGAUUUGGCCGAACCCUAUAAGGUGAUUAGAGGCUAAUUUCUAACAAUUACUUCCUUGUGUUAGGUACAAAUUAAACCAGAUUUAAUCAGAUCUGAAGCAUAGGAGCUGCAGACUAGUGUUAGUGCUUCAGAUAUGCAUUAUUCAGGUAUGGGUCCUAACUUUGUAUGGUUGGUGAUUGUUGAAAUCAUGUUUGUACUUUAUUGGCAUUGGUCGAAUGUUAUAGGGCCUUAAAGUGUAAAUAACCAAGUGUGUAAGUGUUAUAAGUGUUAACUGAUUGUAUGCCUAUUGUUACUGGUUGAUUAGCUGAAUGCAUGUUAUUACAUGUACUGUAUUGUUAAGCAUGUUGAUUGUUAAUGUAUAAAUGGAUUGCGAAUAUAGCAUGCCAUUGAUUGAUACAUUGUUUAUUGCUUGCAUUUAAAAAAAAAAACAUGUCACUGAUUGAUAUUAUUUUAUCGAAUUGAAAUUGUUACACAUGCCAUUGUUAUUGCAAUUGUUAUUGAAAAGCAUUGCCAUAAUGCAUUGCAUGGGGACUUGGAUUGAUUGGAGAUGGAGGAGAUCCAUGGAGUACGGACAGUUUAUCUGUCAUAUUAUACUGGCAAUUAAUCUACAACCCUGAAGUCAUGUUCGGAGUACUGACGGUUUAUCCGAAAAUUACUAGUAGUUUAUCCACAAAUUAUUGGCAAUCAAUUGAAAAAAUUGUCAAUGGUGGUUUAUCCACAUUGAGCUAAGACUCUUACUGUUUUAGUGUUCGAAUGUUGAGCUUUGGGGAACUCAUAGUGUGUAGCAGAUGGAUGGGUAGGAAAUAUACAUUGUUUUCAUAUGAGCAUGUACAUAUAUAUAUAUUAUAUUUUUAUGAUGUCAUGCUAUACUAUGAUCUAAGAAAUGUUGCUGGCUAUAUGCUUUACUAUAGUUUGAACGUCUGCAUGUAUAUACAAUGUUUACUAAGUUUAAGACUUGCGUUGAGCUUUUUACAGCUCACCCCCAUAAUUUUAUCUAAACUUUGAGGUUAGGAUCGGACACGAUAUUCAGAGGUUUCAUCUCAAUUUUAUUUAAUAAAGCAAUUUAAAUUUUACUUUAUUCUGUUAUGGUUUUUGGGACUGUAAUUUUGUUAAUUUUGGGUUGUGGCAUGGGUUCUUUUUAAGUUUGAAUUUCCACAUGCAUCCAAUUCAUUAAACUGAACAGACCCAACAAAUUUGCUUAACAUCAUAUUAAAUAAGGUUUAAAGUAAAAACUGAUGGUUCCAAUUUUUCCAAUACGAAACAAGGAAAAGAGUUUUGAAAAGCAAAUCAACAAAACAAAAAUCAAUUAAGUUUACCCUAAAAUGUCACAACACAUACUAAAUUUGGAGCCUUAAUAUUAACUUGACUUAAAAUCUGAUGUUUUUAAUAAAUAUAUGUCAACCAAUCUAAUUUUUCUAAAAAUUGAAAAAAUAAAUGUUACGAGAACUAAACGAUUCUACUAGGCCAUUUCGGUGGCCAAUGUAACCUUCAAGAUCCGAUCAUAAUGUUUGAACCAGAUUAGGGAGGAUACCGUUAUGGUUGAAAAUUUCAAGCAAUUGGAAAAAUAAAUAUUACUAUUGACAAGCAAGUGUUGUCGAAUGUGAGAGAAUAUCUUAAAUUUUGGGGUGGUGAUGGCAAAAAGUCAAAUAUUGAAGCUGACAUGAAAGGGGUGACGUUGCUUAGUAUUGAUAACAUCGGUGAAAAUGAGACAGAUGAAGCGGAAGUAAGUAACCGGGGCAAAGAAGGUGAGUGUAGGCAAAUCCAAUUUAGAGGUGGAUCGAACACUAGUGUUGGGCCAUUCAGAUGGGAAUCAAGGUUCCGUUGAAACAACUGAGGUGAUGGGUAGAGAUGAUAUGACUGCAGGAAAGGAAUUGGUUGAAGUUACGAAGAGGAUAUUGUAAAUGAGUAUAUAGCCAAAGGAGGCAACAAAGUUAAGAAAAUUGAGAAAGAAGAAACUAACGGCUAGUGGUGAACACAUUCUGACUUCAAAAACAAGAACGCGUUGAAGUUGGGUAAGAUUAUGGGAUUACAAGUUGGUGGAGAUAAGGAUGAAGUUUUGAGACAUUUGGUAGCAAUUAGACUUAGCUCAGUUCAAGGAAUGUUGAAGUUUGAUUUUGUUUUUUUUGUUUUUUUUUUUUGUGUACCAGUCAGUACCCUCAAACUUUCUUCUCUAAAACUCUCCUAAUGUUUCCCAUGAAUCCCCGGCGCUAGCAUGCAAACUAUCUUAUGUUUCUCCAAAAUAAGAGAUACUCUCUCGAUUUUGCUCUUGGGGUUCAUUGCAAAAGUCUGACAGACAGAUGAAACCGUGGUGUUUGAAACUUCUCCCCAUCUCAAGGCUCUAUACGACUUCUACAUCUGGGCUUUUUAAACAUUGAUAAUAGUAUCUUACAUGCUAAGUCUGGAAAGAAACAAAGAACUCUUUUGGAUCGUUUAUUUCAAUUUUUCUCAUAUGUCUCGUUUCUCUUUGUCCCUAGGGGUGUGCAUAAUUCGGGUAAAAUCGAAAAAUUCGGUUAACCGAUCGAAUUCGGUUAAUCGGUCAGUUAACAGAAUUUUUUCGGUCGGGGGUCAGUUAAUUUUUUUAUGAUUUUUCUGUUAACGAUUAAUUCGGUUCGAAACCGGUCGGUUAACUGAAUUUUUUCGGUUAACCGAAAAAAUUAAUAAAUAAAAUUAUCCAACCCAACCCAAUUACCGAACCCAAUAAAACUAAAACUAAAGUCUACCCAAUUACCAACCCAAUAAAAAUAAAACUAAAGUCUGACUCUUAAGUAUCUACCCAAUUACACAUGUUUUUUUUUUUUUAGGUUUAAUGCAAAUGGAGAUUUUUUGGAGAGAAGAAAUAGAUAUAAAUAGAAAAUAUUAAAGACUUACAUUUCAACUAUGUGUUAAUUUUAAGAAUUAUAUAAUAUUUUUAAUUAUGUAGUGAUUCAAAGACUAAUUAUGUAAUAUUUUUAAUUAUGUAGUGAUUCAAUUCGGGUAAUUCGGUUAAUUCAGUUAAUUUUUAUUCAAAAAUAAAAACCAUACAAUUUUCGGUUAAUUCGGUUAACCGACCUAAUUAACCGAAAAAAUUUCGGUUUGAUUAAUUUUUUUUUUUAAAUUCGGUUCGGUUAACGGUUAAAAAUUUUGGAAGAUCGAUUAAUUCGGUUAUAGCUAUUUCGGAUCGGUUAACCGAAUGCACACCCCUAUUUUUCCCAAGUUCCAUUAUUAUCAUCCCAAAUCUUCAGUAUGAUAGAAAAAAACUAUUAAAUUCAGGUGAAAGUAAUGGAGAGCAAAUACAUAAAAAUAUUAAAAAUUUGAUAAGAAAUAUUAAAUAUAAAAACUAGAAUUUAAUAAUAUGAAGUUAUUUGAAUUAAAUAUAUGUAAUAUUAUUGUACCGCGUAAUUUUACAUGAUAAUAUUAGGCACUUACCCCUGUUUUAUUUAAAUUUCAUUUAUAAAAUGCUUUAUUGACUCAUUUCAUAUCAUGGACUAAAGAAGUUAAAUUCAAAAUUAGCAGAAUAUACCCUUUUUUCAAAACGAAAUACAAAGAAAAUUACCAUGAAACUGUUUGAAUCAUCUCUCAGUUGCUCAACGAAUUACUUCUUUGGAAUGUUAAAAAAAAUUACUUAUUUUUCUUUUUCUAUUAAUUUAAUUAAUAUAUCAUAAUAAUUAUUAUUACAAUUGCUACUCAUGCACAGGUUUGCUUUCACUAUAAAGAAUGCAUAAUAAUAGUCAAAAUUUAAACAUAUUAGAUAAAAAUAAAUAAAUAAUAAUGCAUUUUAUAAAAUUAUUUUUUAAAAUUAUUUUUAAAUCAUUUUAAAAAUAAUAUUUUAAUUAAAACUUAAAUUUGAAAAAAAAAGAAUGCCACAAAAAAUGAAUAUAUACAUUAUUAUAUUUAUUAUUUAUGAUAUGAUAUGAUUUCUUACAAAUGUUUCUAACAACAUUAGUUACCAUUUAAUCCACAAAGCUUUAAUUUACAAGUGUCAAAGAAAAAUCCUAAAAUACGGAAAUUAAUUUUUUGUAGAAUGUGAAAAGAUUUUUAAAAAAACUAAUAUUUAAUUUACAAUUUAGCUUUUAAAUUACAUUUAUAUAUUAAUUGUUUCAAUACUAAAAAUAUUAGUUUAUCUAAAAAAUAUUUUACUCAACCACAUAUAUAUAUAAUUAUAUAAAUUACAUCCUAGCAUUAAUCAUUUUUUUAACAAUUUCAAAGCUCGAGAUUUUAAAGGAAUAAUAAAAGGAAUAUUAAAACACCAUAAUUUUAAAGAGUGAUUAAUAUCCUUGAAAUUUAAACAAAUUCUCACAUCCGUAGGGCACUCUCCACCAUAAAACAUUUUAAACUAAAUAUGGUCAUUUUUUGGGUUUUAACUGAUUCAUUUUUUAAUAUAAAUAGAGAACUUCAAUAACAUAUUAUUCAAGCUUGUGCUCAAGGGGCCAUAAGUGAUAAGCAAUAAGCAACCCCACAACUUCAAAUAAGGUUUUCUUCUUUCUCGCUUUCUUUUCUUCAGGGGGAAAGAAAGAGAGAAGAAGAUACUUUUUUGAAAAAAAAAAAGUUGUUUAAGAAUGGCGAAUAAUGCUAUUAUUGGUAUUUGUGCGGUGUUUCUGGUGGCCUUGGUGGUAGCCGUGGUGGUGGGUGUUACGCACAUAAAAAACAAGAAUGAUGGUGAAGAGAUAUCGAGUUCGAACAAAGCCGUGCAAGCCCUAUGUCAACCCACGAAUUAUAAAGAGACGUGCCAGAAAAGCUUGGCGUCGUCAAAUUCUAGCGACGUUAAGGAGCUGAUAAGGACAGGUUUCCAAGCCGGGCUAGUUGAGAUAAAGAACGUGCUAGCCCAUUCAGUGACGGUCCAAGAGUUGAUCAAGGAUGAGAACAACAAAGCGGCACUUGGUGUUUGCCAAGAGGUGUUGGACUUAGCCAUUGAUGACUUUCAAAAGUCAUUCGACAUGCUAGGGGAAUACGACAUGAGCAAGAUCGGAAAAUACCUUUUGGAACUAAAGACCUGGCUAAGCGGUGCAUUCACGAGUCAACAGACAUGUAUAGACUCAUUCGCGGAAUCAAGUAACGAAUCAUCGCAGAAGAUGCAAUCAAUCUUGAAGACUAGCAUGGAGAUUACUAGCAAUGCUUUAGCGAUGCUUAAUGGGUUAUCCACCAUCGUGAAGGAACUUAACAUUCCAAACAUCGGCAACAUCGACACCACGGGGGUCAACCGUAAGCUUUUGUCGGCUGAGGAUAUGCCUGAGUGGAUUAGUCAAGCUGACCGAAAACUUCUUCAAGCAAAACCAAUGGAUUUGAAACCUAACGUUGUGGUUGCUAAAGAUGGUAGCGGGAAAUAUGAUACUAUUAACAAGGCAUUGGCUGAAGUCCCUGUGAAAAGUCCCGAUCGAUUUGUUAUUCACAUUAAGGCUGGUACUUACAAGGAGCAAAUCAACUUGACCAAGAAGAUGACUAAUGUUGUAUUCAUUGGUGAUGGCCCAACCAAGACCAUUAUCACAAAUGACAUUAGCGUCGUUAAGAAUCCACCGGUUAGAACAUACCGCACUGCAACUGUUGGUAAGUAGUAUUAUAUACAUAUAUAAGUUUUGUCAUGAAGUGUGGUGGCUAACUAGUAUAUAUGUAUACAUGUUUGUGAAAUAUUUUAGCUGCGGAUGGGGCUGGUUUCAUGGCCAAGGACAUUGGAUUCGAUAACUCAGCAGGACCCGAAGGUCAUCAAGCAGUUGCCUUUAGGGCCACUGCUGAUAGGGUCAUCAUGUUCAACUGCCAUUUCACUGGGUGCCAAGACACUCUCUAUGCUCACAGAGAGAGACAGUUAUAUAGCAACUGUCUCAUCACCGGAACGGUGGAUUUCAUCUUCGGGGAUGCGGCGAGCAUUUUCCAGAACUGUAUGCUCGUCGUGAGGAAGCCAGGGCCAGGCCAAAACUGCAUGGUUACUGCACAAGGAAGGAAUGAUCUUGGAACAAACUCAGCCAUUGUGCUUCAAAACUGCACCAUCUCGGGCGCCCCUGAUUACAUCCCAGUGAAGGAUACGAACAAGGCGUACUUGGGGCGUCCUUGGAAACAAUUCGCUAGGUCCAUCAUAAUGCAAUCUAGGAUCGACGACAUCAUUCAACCAGAGGGUUAUGCCCCCAUGACAGGCACCAUAGGAAUAGACACUUCUUUCAUUGCCGAGUUUGGAAAUAGGGGACCCGGUGCUGAUACCAGCCGUAGGGUAGCAUGGAAAGGUAUCAAAAAGAUAGAUAUAAAUGAAGCCAACAAAUGGACUCCUCGCGUCUUUCUCGAAUCCGAGACUUGGAUCCCAAGUUCCGGCGUUCCCUAUAGUCCCGACAUGGUCCCUGGAGUCUAAACAGCUUAUUAUCGAUACCAACGCCAUUAGUAUGCUUAUUAUCAUACCAUUGUUCUAAUUAUGUCAUUUUUUUACUAAUUAAUUAAACAGUUUUUUUAAUCUUUUAUCUAUCUAUGUAUAUAUGUUGAAUUCUUUGGUUUCCCGAUUGUUGUUUCCAUUCACUUAUUAAUGAUGUUUGCAAAACCCAAAAAUUAAGUCAACGUUUAAAUAUUAUUGAACUUAAUUUAAUACAAUUUUUUAAGGAUUAUUUGGAUUGAUAAUGUUGUUUCCCUGAUGUAGACACCUUACUUUAAAUAGAUUUAAUAAAAUGAUUAUUAUCAAACUUAAUUAUAAGAUUUAAUAAAAAAUAGUUUAUGAAGUGACAAUUACUAAUAUAAUAUUAAAAAUUAAUAAAAACAAUUAUAUUAUAAAAAAAUUAAUCUUAUUUUUUAUAUAUACUUUUUUUUAUAUAUGGACUUAAGCAAGUAUCCCGCGCAUGGAAUCAAAGAUUUGUUCAAGCGGUCAAGAUUUUUGAAUUUGAGCAAAACAUAAAAGAACGUUGUGUUUAUAAACAUUUAGGGGAUGAAAAGGUGGUCUUUCUCAUUCCAUAUGUCGGGUGAAAUUCUACUAGUUGAGAAUGAUGUAGGGAUAUUGUCAUCGUUUAAACUAUGGGUAACCCAACAGUUUAGGAUGAAAGACUUGGGAGAAGCUAAUUUUAUUCUAGGCAUUCGAAUCCUAAGGGAUCGAAAGAACAAAGUGAUAGCACUAUUGCAAGAUUCAUACAUAGACAAGAUAUUGGAUAGCUAAGCUAUAACUUAUACGAAAAAGGGUAAUCAACCUUCUAAUAUUGAGAUUUCACCUUUCUUUAGAGGAUUGUCCUAAGACAAUGGAAAAAGGAGUGGACAUGAGAAAGGUUCAUUAUAUUUCAACAAUAUGAAGUCUUAUGUAUGUUAUGUUGUGCAUACACCACUGUAAGUGUUCCCGGCUCUAAACAUCGACUGAAUAAAUUUGAAAACAAAACCACUAACUGCGUGUCGUGUCGGGGUCUUAUAUUCUAGGUUAUCGCCAAACCUCAAUUGGUGGACGUUUUGCCUACCGCGGUUGAAAUCUAGGGCUGAAACCGAUGAGUAUCUUCCCAUUGAUAAUUUCAGGAUAUCAUAUUGAAAUAAUUUUAUUUUAUGCACAAAAAUCAUAUAAAAAAAAAGCACAAAUUUACAUACUUUAUAAAUUCAUGCCCAUUAUUAACAUUUAAAGCAAAAUUCACUUAAUUAAUUAACAAAUAUUCAAGAUUAAUAAUCUUUUUAAGUAAAAAGUAGUAAAAAUUACUAGGAAAAUCCCAUAUAAUUUUCCCUUUAAUUAGAUCCUACACCUUUAAAAGAAUAGUUAGAUACAUGCUUAAGUUAAAGAGGUUAAUUUAAUAAGAAUCCAAAAGUGGAUUUUUAUAAUUUUUAUUAGUUGAGUUAGAUAAAUAUGUAUUUGUAUUAUUUAAAUUUUAAUCCUUUGUUUUUUUAUUUAAUCAUCCCAAUUGGUCUACCAAUUUUGUGUUGUACUUUCAAUUCUUUGAUUUAAUAAAUAUUUUGGUACACUUUGAAUUGGCAUAAUAUGAUAUGUUUUAUAUUCAAGAUAGGUGAAGUUAGAUAUUUUCACUUUAACAUCUCAUGUCAAUGUCACUAUUAUUUUUGAACACCCUCUUCCUCUCCCAUUUAUGAUAAAGAUUUGUGGAAGAUUUGUUUUUUUAUUAGGUGAAUUUGGGUUCUAAGAAGAAAAAAAAUUAAAAAAUAAAAACACGAUUAAAAGUUUGUAGGGGUAAUUUUUUCUUUUUUUUU
rnacentral:lncRNA from 1 species